UACAGAGGGGGCAAGCGUUGUUCGGAAUUACUGGGCGUAAAGGGCGCGUAGGCGGCCUGUUAAGUCAGACGUGAAAUCCCCGGGCUCAACCCGGGAACUGCGUCUGAUACUGGUAGGCUUGAAUCCGGGAGAGGGAUGUGGAAUUCCAGGUGUAGCGGUGAAAUGCGUAGAUAUCUGGAGGAACACCGGUGGCGAAGGCGGCAUCCUGGACCGGUAUUGACGCUGAGGCGCGAAAGCCAGGGGAGCAAACGGG
rnacentral:rRNA from 1 species